rnacentral:rRNA from 1 species
AUGGAAUUAAGGGAGUUGGCUCGCUUCUUAAUGCAGGGAACAGUGAGUUAUGACGACCUACUUUGGCAGCCGGGUUUAUGGAAUGCCAACACAAAGAUGGAGUUCAUUAGAGAAAUACAUUUUAUGGUUGACAUGGAUCGUGAUGCAAAUAACAAGCUACCAUAUGCACAGACAAAGAAAGGAUGUCAACUCGCGAAGAAGAAGUCUCUUGGACUAUUUGAUCUCAUGCAAGAGUUUACAAAACCAAAAGAUGAGAAUAACAUACCACGAGAACGUAAGGAGGACCACUUGCUUGAUUCAGUUUUAUUCUUGAGGAACAAAAUUGUCGCUCACUACGAUGACGAGUACAAAGCGUUUUCAGGUCAAAAGGAGAAAAUUGGCACAACUAAGGCUCAGAUUGAGAGAUAUGUACAACAUAGCAAGGGUGAUUACAUGAUAAAACUGGCGAGAGCCAUAAAGGAGUUAGGGUGGUUCGAUUCGUCUCCACUUCUUCGAGGUAAAACCCACUAUAUGGAAGGAUUCUACAACCUGAGGAUAUCCGAUGGGAAAGGAAAAGGCAAAGCAAAACGUUGA